rnacentral:rRNA from 1 species
GACAACAGUUGGAAACGACUGCUAAUACCGCAUACGAUCUAAUCUCGGCAUCGAGGAUAGAUGAAAGGUGGCCUCUACAUGUAAGCUAUCACUGAAGGAGGGGAUUGCGUCUGAUUAGCUAGUUGGAGGGGUAAUGGCCCACCAAGGCGAUGAUCAGUAGCCGGUCUGAGAGGAUGAACGGCCACAUUGGGACUGAGACACGGCCCAGACUCCUACGGGAGGCAGCAGUGGGGAAUCUUCCGCAAUGGACGAAAGUCUGACGGAGCAACGCCGCGUGAGUGAUGACGGCCUUACGGGUUGUAAAGCUCUGUUAAUCGGGACGAAAGGCCUUCUUGCGAAUAGUUAGGAGGAUUGACGUACCGGAAUAGAAAGCCACGCUAACUA